GGCGCUCUGCGCAGGCGUUCAGCUGCUGGCAUGGUGGCUCUUUGCAAAGCAGCUGUUUUGGGUUUGAAAUUCCAACAUGGCAGAGGCUGCGGUCAGUCUUCCCUUCAAAAACUUGGAAUGAUUUCAAAUCGGAGGCGUCUUCGCUUUAACCCGAGCCCCAAUUCAUCAGCGCGCCGUAAGAAUCGAUUGUGCCCGACCCUCCAGGUUAAAUGAAUACCUGACGAAAAGGCCGAGGUUUCAAGGCAAGUGACAUUUGAUAGCGGAGGGGAAAAGUGGCAUUCAUGAAAAGCAAGCUUUGGAAUUCCUGCUUGUGAGAAGAAGGAGAGGAGCAAAA